GGGUGGCUAGCUCAGUUGGUAGAGCAACGGACUCUUAAUCCGUGGGUCCAGGGUUCGAGCCCCUGGCCACCCA
rfam:Lactobacillus apis strain Hma11 genomic scaffold Hma11_scaffold1, whole genome shotgun sequence.